UACGAAGGGUGCUAGCGUUGCUCUGAAUGACUGGGCGUAAAGGGCGCGUAGGGGGUUUGUACAGUCAGGUGUGAAAUUCCCGGGCUCAACCUGGGGGCUGCACUUGAUACGUAUGGACUGGAGUGGGGAAGAGGGUCGUGGAAUUCCCAGUGUAGAGGUGAAAUUCGUAGAUAUUGGGAAGAACACCGGUGGCGAAGGCGGCGACCUGGUCCUUGACUGACGCUGAGGCGCGAAAGCGUGGGGAGCAAACAGG
rnacentral:rRNA from 1 species